UCUGGAAUAGCUCAUUCGGUAGAGCGUCAGAUUCAACUCUGAAAGUAGUGGGUUCAAACCCCACUUCCAAAA
rnacentral:tRNA from 1 species